rnacentral:misc_RNA from 1 species
UGAACUUUCUGUUCUUUGUGAUGCCGAAGUUGCUCUCAUCAUCUUCUCCAAUCGUGGCAAGCUCUAUGAGUUCUGUAGUACUUCCAACAUGCUCAAAACACUGGAGAGGUACCAAAAAUGCAGUUAUGGAGCGGUGGAGGUCACAAAACCGGCCAAAGAACUCGAGAGUAGCUAUAGAGAAUACUUGAAGCUGAAGGCUAGGUUUGAGUCUUUACAAAGAACUCAGAGAAAUCUUCUUGGUGAGGACUUGGGUCCAUUGAACUCAAAAGAGCUUGAGCAACUGGAGCGUCAGCUUGAGUCUUCUUUGAAGCAAGUUAGGUCCACUAAGACUCAGUACAUGCUGGACCAGCUGUCUGAUCUUCAGAACAAGGAACAAAUGCUGAUUGAAACCAACAGAGCUCUGCAAAUAAAGCUGGAAGAAAUAAGUUCAAGAAAUAACAUAAGGCUUACAUGGGAAGGUGGAGACCAAAGUAUGUCAUAUGGUCCACAAAAUGCCCAAACUCAAGGCUUCUUUCAGCCACUAGAUUGCAAUCCCACUUUGCAAAUUGGGUACACUUCUGCAGUAUCAGACCAAAUUACAAGCACCACUGCUCCAACUCAUGCCCAACAAGUCAAUGGCUUCCUCCCUGGUUGGAUGCUUUGAAGACCAAAAAAAACUACCUCUCCUUUUUCUACUUUUGUUGCUUACUUUUUUUUCUUUUUUCUUUUUGCACUAUGCUACCAAUACUAUGCAAAAUUGUUAAUAAGCAUUAUAUUUUACUUUUCAUUUUAGAACUUGAAAGAAAAUCCCAAAAUUUGAACCACUUGUAUUGAG